rnacentral:rRNA from 1 species
GUUAAGCGACUAAGCGUACACGGUGGAUGCCCUGGCAGUCAGAGGCGAUGAAGGACGUGCUAAUCUGCGAUAAGCGUCGGUAAGGUGAUAUGAACCGUUAUAACCGGCGAUUUCCGAAUGGGGAAACCCAGUGUGAUUCGUCACACUAUCAUUAACUGAAUCCAUAGGUUAAUGAGGCGAACCGGGGGAACUGAAACAUCUAAGUACCCCGAGGAAAAGAAAUCAACCGAGAUUCCCCCAGUAGCGGCGAGCGAACGGGGAGGAGCCCAGAGCCUGAAUCAAUGUGUGUGUUAGUGGAAGCGUCUGGAAAGGCGCGCGAUACAGGGUGACAGC